rnacentral:rRNA from 2 species
GCUUCUAUGACGUUAGCGGCGGACGGGUGAGUAACACGUGGGCAACCUGCCUGUAAGACUGGGAUAACUUCGGGAAACCGAAGCUAAUACCGGAUAGGAUCUUCUCCUUCAUGGGAGAUGAUUGAAAGAUGGUUUCGGCUAUCACUUACAGAUGGGCCCGCGGUGCAUUAGCUAGUUGGUGAGGUAACGGCUCACCAAGGCAACGAUGCAUAGCCGACCUGAGAGGGUGAUCGGCCACACUGGGACUGAGACACGGCCCAGACUCCUACGGGAGGCAGCAGUAGGGAAUCUUCCGCAAUGGACGAAAGUCUGACGGAGCAACGCCGCGUGAGUGAUGAAGGCUUUCGGGUCGUAAAACUCUGUUGUUAGGGAAGAACAAGUACAAGAGUAACUGCUUGUACCUUGACGGUACCUAACCAGAAAGCCACGGCUAACUACGUGCCAGCAGCCGCGGUAAUACGUAGGUGGCAAGCGUUAUCCGGAAUUAUUGGGCGUAAAGCGCGCGCA